CGGCGGACGGGUGAGUAACGCGUGGGUAACCUACCUCAUACAGGGGGAUAACAGUUGGAAACGGCUGCUAGUACCGCAUAAGCGCACAGUACCGCAUGGUACGGUGUGAAAAACUCCGGUGGUAUGAGAUGGACCCGCGUCUGAUUAGGUAGUUGGUGGGGUAACGGCCUACCAAGCCGACGAUCAGUAGCCGACCUGAGAGGGUGACCGGCCACAUUGGGACUGAGACACGGCCCAA
rnacentral:rRNA from 1 species